rnacentral:rRNA from 1 species
UACAGAGGGGGCAAGCGUUGUUCGGAAUUACUGGGCGUAAAGGGCGCGUAGGCGGCCUGUUAAGUCGAACGUGAAAUCCCCGGGCUCAACCCGGGAACUGCGUCCGAUACUGGCAGGCUUGAAUCCGGGAGAGGGAUGCGGAAUUCCAGGUGUAGCGGUGAAAUGCGUAGAUAUCUGGAGGAACACCGGUGGCGAAGGCAGCCCCCUGGGUUAACACUGACGCUCAUGCACGAAAGCGUGGGGAGCAAACAGG